rnacentral:rRNA from 1 species
UACGUAGGGGGCAAGCGUUGUCCGGAUUUAUUGGGCGUAAAGAGCGUGUAGGCGGCCUGACAGGUCUGCUGUGAAAACUCGAGGCUCAACCUCGAGAUGUCGGCGGAAACCGUUUGGCUAGAGUCCGGAAGAGGAGAGUGGAAUUCCCGGUGUAGGCGGUGAAAUGCGCAGAUAUCGGGAAGAACACCCGUGGCGAAGGCGGCUCUCGUGGGACGGUACUGACGCUGAGACGCGAAAGCGUGGGGAGCGAACAGG